rnacentral:lncRNA from 1 species
AACUGUUGGCCUCGGUCGUAGUACCACCAUUCUGCAAUACAUAACGACAAUCAUUAGUGAUACUAAUACCUCCUGAGGGAUCACACCCACAACAAGUUCCCUGGUCUUGUCUCAGCCUUCCUUAGUUCGGGUACGGAUCCUUUACUUUCAAUAGUAUGGGCCCAUACUACCUUCCAUAUCUAUCCGUACUGCUGAUCACUGCUAUACUCAUCCUAGGCUUACCCAAGGAAAUCCUCCGACUCCACCCAAACCAGUCCUCAGCUGCUGAAGGCCUCCUCGUAAUGCCAAUUAGUCAUUACCUGGAUAUCAUCACAUGUGAUGAGGCUCAGAUAAUCCUUCGAGUAACAGACUCGUCCCUACAACGGUUAGGCUCAAACAAGAGCUGCGCAAUAGGGUCAAACCCAACACUCUAAGAUUAUUCAACCCUGAUCACAUGUGACGUGACGUAUUCACCUAAUGGCUAACUCCCAUUCUUCAGAGUCCCACAAAGCACAAAGCAAGCAGCGUUCAGACAAAAAAGGGAACAAUCUCAAGCAAAUCCGUUCUCAUAGAGAGAAACUACACUAGCAUACCAUGCUAAACUCGUACUAUCAGGCAUAACCUAAAUAGGCUAUCCUACUGUUGUCUACUCAAUUCUAGCAUGCAAUUCUCAUACACUGAAGCACAUAAAGCAGGCACAUAAGGCAUCACUCUUAGAUCCUUAGUCCUAUUCUAGCAUGUUGUUCUACUAAAACUGAUCAACAUAACAUAAACUUGUAUGGGUACUUUGGGGAAUACCUACUUGAGCUCGGUCGGUCGCACACAUCACACCCUUCUUUCUUUCUCAAAACACUUUUCUUAACUUUGAGAAAACAUUUUCUUUUUCAAAAUCCUUUAAUCCCUCGAUUUGAGUUCAGACACCCCUGAAGGUGUGUCCGAAUCCCUCAAACCAGGGCUAUGAUACCAACUUGUAACGACCCAUUUUUCACGUCCAAAAUUUUCAUUUUUCAAGCAAUACUUAAUAAAAUCAUUUGUAAAUAAACAUUGUCCGAUCAAACCAUUUCAUAAACAUAUACUAUGUCUGAAAACCAAAACAUGUAAUCAAUCAAGAUGUCAGAGUAUAAAUCCCAGAACAAUCCCAUAAAUGCGGAAAACAGUGUGUGUGUAUGAUGUGCCGCUACUGCGCCAGCUCCUUCCCCUUCGACGAAGAGGUACCUGAAACCAAAAUUGUAAAGUGUAAGCACGAAGCUUAGUGAGUUCCCCCAUCGUACCACAUACCAUACAAUCACAUAACAUACAUACUGUCAGGCUAUUAUGGGGUGCCUGACUACCCGGUACGGCCAUUCUGGGGUGCCGUCUUACCCGUGUCAAGCCAUUCUGGGGUGCUGACUACCUAUGUCAAGCUAUUCGGGGGUGUUGACUACCCAUCGGUCCUAACAACCGAUCCCCAGGGACUAUUUCACCCCCUACUGCUACUAUCACAUAUAUCAUAACUUAACAUAUUAUCAGACAUAUCUGGGGUGUCUGAACUACCCUUCGGUCCUAACAACCGAACUCUACCUCCUGCUACCUCUGGCUCAUAUAACAGAUCAUACUAGCAUAUAAACAUAACAUCAUACACUAUCAAACAUAUCUGGGGUGUCUGACUACCCUUCGGUCCUAACAACCGAACUCUACUACUAUCACAUAUAACAUAUCAUGCUAGCAUAUAACAUAUCAGGUAGCAACAAACCUAGAUGAAUAUCACACAGACAAUCAUCUAACACCCAACUUCUACUGGUGGGCCGGCAUUGUGGUCGUAGACCCACUGCUACUUGAAAGGAAACUCACCUCAAAGUAGCUGCUGAUCUGAGCGGGAACUGACUGUCUACUGCUGCUGCUGCUGCUCCAGAAGUCCUCCGGAUAUAAUUCCCACAAAACGUUCAGUCAAACACUGCUAGCUGUACUUAGGGUAAAAUGACCAUUUUACCCUUGACCAGGUCAAAGUCAACUUCCAGUUGACCCGACUUGCCGAGUUGGCUCACCAACUCGUCGAGUCCCUAUCCAUUCGAUUGUCCUUAAACCCGUCUCUACUCGUCGAGUUAGGUACGACUCGACGAGUUCUCCUUCCAAACUGACGUUCAAUAGUCCUUCAUCCUACUCGCCGAGUUGUAUGAACAACUCGUCGAGUUCAUCUUCAUCCGAAGAACAGUCUAUGAUGCGACUCACCGAGUUGUAUGAACAACCCGUCGAGGCUGUUCUUGAGGCAAGAAGAUUGCCUAGGACUCGUCGAGUCAGGGCAUUGACUCGCCGAGUCCCUCCAUCACUGAAUAUGGCUUCCGAUUCACUGAGUCCACCCAUGACUCACAACUCCACUCAUCAAACACGAAAAAGGGGAAAACUCAGGGACUCACGACUCGACUCGCCGAGUCCGAUGAACGACUCGCCAAGUCAUUCACAUGCAAUUACUAUAUACUCGAUUUUGCUUGAAUCCAGCUCAUGCCAUACAUAGAUCUAGGUUCUUAGGGUUGGUUUUGCACGUAAAGUUUCCAACUUUACGUGCAUGCAUGCUCAUUCAAGGGAUUUAAGGAUUUUUAUGCGGUUAGAAGUAUAGAUCUAGGCUUGAUCAUGAAAAUGGCCCAUAAAGGUUAUAAAUUUGAGCUUCUUGAGCUCAGAUGUGGUCAGAUCUAAAGGCUAAACGAAUCAAGGAGUCCUCUAGACCACAACCAAGCCAAUAAAUGACUCCAAAAAGUAUUAAAGAUGCUCUAAUGAAGGUUCAACCAUAGAAACAGAAGAAGGGGGUCGAGUUUUUACCUUACUAAUCUCUGAAAUGGGUUCACAACUUCUGUUCUCCUCCUUCUCCUUGAUCUUUCUUCCUUCUCUUCUUCAAAGCUUCAAAGAAACACACACAAACACUCAAAUCACAAAAGGAAAGGUUAAGGUUCCUCUGAGAGUGAAGGGGGCGACCUUGGGGGCACAUAUGGUGGUUUAAAUAGGGUGCAAACCCUUGAAAUUAGGGUUUCAUUCAGACAGCAGGGACUCGCCGAGUCCAGAAUGUGGACUCGUCGAGUCGCCAACUUAAACGUGCUCAAUGCCCCGAAUCUACUCGGCGAGUCGGGCCUGCAACUCGCCGAGUCCAAGGCUAAAUAUGUAAUUCACUUAGAUAGAUUAUACGUACCAGGAACCAGGUGCUACAAAUCUCCCACACUUAUUUUAGACUCCGUCCUCAAAGUCUGCUGCUCGANCUCGGGGUAAUGCUCCAUCAUUUCUUCCACCGGCUCCCAAGUCCACUCCGAACCCUUCCGGUCCUGCCAUUGCACCUUCACUAAUUCCACCCUCUUGUUCCUCAGAUCCUUCGACUUCCGGUCGAGGAUUGUGACAGGGCGCUCAAUGUAAUUCAGGCUGUCAUCCACCUGAAUAUCCUCCAACAGCACCACUGCUGAGUCAUCCACUAGGCACUUCCUAAACUGGGAGACAUGGAAGGUGUUGUGGAUCUGACUGAGUUCGGCUGGCAGAUCCAGCCUAUAUGCCACCUUGCCCACCCGGGCUAUAACCCUGAACGGUCCAAUGUAUCUCGGGCCCAACUUGCCCCGCUUCCUGAAUCGAAUGACGCCCUUCCAAGGCGACACUUUCAGGAGAACCAUAUCCCCGAUCUGGAACUCCAGGUCUGAUCGGCGCUUGUCGGCGUAGCUUUUCUGGCGACUCUACGCAGACUGAAGCCUGCUCUGAACCUGUUGAAUCCUCUCGGUAGUCUUGAGCACCACUUCGGUGCUCCCCAUGACCCUCUGGCCAACUUCACCCCAACAUAUCGGGGUCCUGCACCUCCGUCCGUACAACAUCUCGAAUGGAGGACGGUCAAUACUCGCGUGGUAGUUGUUGUUGUACGAGAACUCAGCCAAUGGAAGAUAGGUAUCUCAGCUACCACCGAAAUCUAGCAUGCAUGCCUGCAACAUAUCCUCCAGAGUCUGGAUGGCCUGCUCACUCUGACCAUCCGUCUGCGGGUUAGGCAUGACAUAUCAUAUUCAGCCAAUGUUUUCAGGUGACACUGUUUCCAUAUUCCAACAUCCUCAAUAUUCUUAAACUGGUUAGAAGAAAGAUCAAGCUCUAGAAGGUUAGGCAUACUAGGAACCAAUGAAUUCAACUUGUUUUCCUAAAGGUAAAGAACUUUUAGGGAACUCAUGUUACUGAAAACAGAUGGAAAUAUGUCUUCAAUUGAAUUUUGGCUAAGAUCCAGGUAUUGGAUGUUAGAAAGCGUACUGAUAUUAAAAUGAGUGGAAGAUAGAUGUGUGUUAUGGAGGCCACAACGUGACAAAUUCAGCUCUGAUAAAGAGGAAGAGAUCAUGUUUAUCAGGCUUGCAAAGUUCCAUGACAAACUAAGAUUAAAUUUUGAAAGAUCCAGAAAUUCAAGGGAUGUCAUGUUUCUGAAAAAUCGAGGGAGUGGAUUUUUGAAAGAAUUGAAACCAAGAUCAAGGUGUUUCAUGUUGGCAAGUAUUCUACUUGAAUUAAGAGAAGAACCAAGAUCAACAUUGGAAAGUCCACACUUAUACAAACUUAACUCUUUUAAUAAAGGAAGAUAGUGAAGCACCAUGUCCAUGUUCAUUGCUCCGCCAAGAUCCACCCAACUCAAGUCGAGAUGCUCGAGUGAUGGAAGGCCAAAAGUCCAUGACAUAUCAUUUGACACCAGAUUGAAGUUUGAACUGAGAUCCAAAACCUUUAAAUUAGAAAGAUUUCCAAUGUGAGGAUGAAUAAUACCUUGAAAACCAGAGAGAUUGAGAUAUCUCAGCUGGUUGAAGGACCCAAUGAACUCAAGGAUCCGAAUUCCUAGAAAAUGAUUCCCACUCAAGUCCAGGUACUUGAGAUGCCUCAACUCAACCAAUGAAGAGUUCACCUCAUUUCCAACUAAGCAGUUGUCUCCACCAUCAUAGUAAUCUCCUCUGAGAUUGAGGCUGUCAAUGGUUCCAGUGAGACUGUCACAGUGGAUUCUUUCCCACAGGCAACAAUCCUUCCCCACCCAUGAUGACAAUAUUUUACAGUCAUCUACAGCACUGUGUUUUGUGUUUGAACCUGAGAAGAGCAAUUCGCUCUUUCUGAGAGCAAGCCACAAUCACAUUUUCAACACCCAAACAAGUAUAUUUGGUUGCAACCAAAAUAACACAUACGAAAAUGAGGAAGAUCCCUAAACCCCUCGGAGUCCCCAUUAUUAACCCUCCUUUUUAAUUUAGAAUAAAGUUGAAGUGGAAAUAUAGGUUGUUAUAUUGAAGAAACCACUUCAUUUAUAAUGCCAUAUGAUAUUUGCAUAUUUAGUCUUAAAUUAAGUAUAGAUUUUUAUCAUUUUUUUAGCUAAUUUAUUGAAUAUCAUGGACAAAUGAUACUUAAAAGUGUUUGAAUUGUGUUUUCAGUCCAAAAGCGAAGCUCGAAAGUAAAAGGAAGCAGGUGAAGCGGUUGGGAGCUCGGGAGUUGAACAAAGAAGAAAAAUACCAAAAAUACAAGGUACUCGGCGAGUAGGGUCGACUACUCGGCGAGUCGCAUCGAAGAUUCAAGAAGAUAAAGACUCCUUGACUUACCGUGUUUGGGAAUUACGGGAUGGACUCGACAAGUCGGUCAUGGACUCGACGAGUCGGGUUGAAUCUAUAAAAACAACUUUUCAGAUCGACACAAGGAAUUCUGGAACCCUUUGGGGAGAAGCAAGCUGCGAAUUAAAGUAAGAAGAGAUUUGGAGAACGAAGAUACAACCCUAAACCUAAUCCUGAAGGAGAUUUGUGGCAAAUUUACAUCAUUCUUACUUUAAUCUAUUGUUUUUCAUCAUGUUAAGACUUUUAGAUUUCGUUUUUAUGCGGUUAAUUACCUUAAUCAUGAGCUAAAACCUUAAAACUUCUGUUUGGGGAGACAAUAUUGAUACUAUGGUUUGAUUUAUAGUAGGAUUGAUUUAAUAUUGGUGAUUUUGUUGAUUCUAGCUUGUUAAAGAACCUUAUGUCUGAAUAAUAACUAUUUUUCUGUUAAUAGGAAGAUAAUUAAGUUGCAUGAACAUCUCUUAAUUGUUUACCUCAUAUGAUUUAUGUGAACACUUUAUUAUAUGACUAGGAUUAGCGACUGUGAAACUAGAAUUAAUAAGAAAAAUAGGUAAAUUCAUGUGUGAGCUUGUGUGAUGACCAUCAACAAGAGGUUAACUAAAGGACCAAAUUAGUUAACCAUUACAAGUCUAAAUUAACCCGAAUAAAUAACCUAGUGAAUUGAAUUAAAUUAGACAAUUGGCCACUGUUUGAGUUAGUUUGUUCUCUAAGGAUUAGUGCAACGAACGUGAAUCUAAUCACUUGAAUCGGUAGCCAAUAGAAGAAUUAAUCCAUUAUACUAUUACCAUAAUAUCAACCAUAGGAUCAAUGGAGUUGAACUAAACAGAAGUUCCCUUCGUUAUUGAAUUUAGUUGAAUCUUUGUUUAUCUAGUUUUUAGUUAAUUAGUCUAAGUAAUAGUUAGUAAGUUUCUAGUCUUGUAAAACUAGAGAAAACCCCUUUUUAUUACUAAAUUUUAGAUAAAAUUAGUUUUUAGUUUUAAUUCUCCAUUCCCUGUGUUCGAUACCCUACUUAUUUAGCUUUACCACAAUUGAUAGGUCCACUGCCUUUGUGUGUUUAUUUUAUAAUUAAAAGUUGGAUUAAAACUAGUUGGUUUUACACACAUCUAGUUUUUGGCGCCAUUGUCGGGGAACGGUUCUAAAUUAGCACUAAUUUCUAGUUUUAUCGAUCCUUUGUGUGGGAUUUAUCUCACACAAAGUUAAUUCUUAGGUAAUUUAGUAAUUAGUAUAGGUUUUGAUAAAUUUCUGGUUUAAAAAGUUCAUUAGUAAUUUUUCUGUUUUUGCCUUGAACUCGCCGAGUGCACUCGAGUCAACUCGGCGAGUCCAUCGAUGUUUGCAGUUUUAGUUUUUAUUUUAUUUUUGUUCUUUUUACGCGUUUUUUCUUCUUUUGUUUGCAGUUGUUUCAUGACCCGAGGAUCUGAUACGCCUUUAGUCCCUCCACUCGAAGACCCGGAGUCCGCCCUAAAGAAGAACAAAAGAAAAUCCGUUGGAGAAUCCGCUUCUUCGAAGAGCUAGCCGUUGAAGAAUCUAAAAUCCGUUUUCAGCAAGAAAAAGGGCAGCAAAUUAAGAGCAUCCAGCGAUUUUAGAUGAAGUCCCCAUGGGGGAAUGGAAGAAGAAGACCCCACAUUUGGGCACGAAUUCGACUUUGACGACGAGUUAGCUAUUCCCAUGGAGAACAUCGAUGAAGUCCCCAUGGGGGAAUGGAAGAAGAAGAUGUGUGAUGACACCGGCCCGGGACUUAUGCAACCCGCAAUUCCCGCUACUGCUACUUUCGAAUUAAAGGGCCACAUACUCGCUCAACUAAAGGAGAUCCCCUUCUACGGAAAAGAUACGAAGACACCUAUAAGCACUUGGAUGAAGUCAAUGAUGUAGCUGAUUACUUCAAUGUUUCAAAUGUGCCUCGCGAGACCCAACUACUUCGUAUGCUUCCAGUCACAUUUAAGGGUGAUGCAAAAGAUUGGCUCAAGUCACUCCCUCCCGGAUCCAUCACCACAUGGGCUAAAGUGAAAGAAGAAUUUAUUGAGCAUUUUUGCCCACCUUCUAAAAUAGCCAAGUUGAAGAAGGUUAUUGCUAACUUUGAACAACAACCCGGAGAGUCCCUUUAUGAGGCGUGGGAGAGGUACAAAAGUCUACUAAGAAAUUGCCCACACCAUGACCUUAAUAGCCAACAAGAAGUCUCCAUCUUCUAUGACGGAGUCAAUGUCACGACAAGGCAAUUACUUGACUCGCAAGGCCAGCUCACAAAGAAAGCACCCCCGGUGAUCAAAGAAUUAAUUGAAGAGUUCUCUAAACAUUCUAGAAAAUACCACAACCCACGUAAUGAAGUAAGUAAGGGGUAGUGAACACGGUUAAUGAUGGCAUGGCGAGAAUGAUGGCUAAACUAGACAGUUUAGAUAGGAGAAUGACGAAGAUGGAUCAAACAAUCCAUGUUAUCCGGGUAGGAUGUGAGAAUUGUAGGGGACCUCACCUAACUAAAGAUUGUGACUUGGAUGGGAAUGGAAACAAGAAGGCGCAAGUGUUCUAUUCAAGUGGUGACAGGUACGAUGAGAAUUGGCGGAAACCCAAGAAGGAAUGGCUCCCGUACGAAGAAUACAAAAAGGCAAAGGAAGAGAAAUACAAGCAAAAAGAGAGGGGUUUCUAUCAAAAGGAAGAACCGGUUGUGGAAAAAAGAGCCGAUUUAGAAGAGAUGUUCACAAGAUUUAUAGCCGCGUCCGAGAAGAGACACAAUGAUCAUGAUGCUGCAAUACAAGAGACUAGAACAAUACUUAGGAAUUAGCAAGCAUAUAUUCUCAACAUUGAAAAACAGCUAGGGCAACUUGCACAUCAAGUGAACAAGAGAAGACCGGGUGAACUUCCAAGUAAAACCGAGAAUAAUACGAGAAUGGAGAAUGUGAAUGCUAUAACAUCUAGUUUUGGGGAGAUUUUCACUCCUCUGACCCCUGCACAAAAGGUCUCAACUAAGGUGCAUGCAGAAAAGACAGAAGAGCCGAGUUCAGCUAAACCCGACACGACUCGCCGAGUCCCUCUAAUGGACUCGAUGAGUCCAUGGUCUGAUGACAAAACUGUUGUUUCCUUAAAGCCUUACAGGCCACCUUUGCCAUUUCCAAUUCAAGCCAUACCUGAUGAAAAGGUUAAAGCGUACAGAACUUUCAUGGAACAUGUAAAAGCCCUUCAAGUCAACAUCCCAUUUGCUGAAACGAUGCUUCAAACACCUAAAUAUUUAAAAUUGCUUAAGAGUCCCUUUACUGCUAGAAAAGAUAUGGUUGAAGUCGCAGAAUUAAUAUUAAAUGAACUACCAUAAAAGAAGGGCGAUCCGGGAAGCAUCUCAAUUCCUUGCCAAUUUGGAAAUAUACUUGCUACUCACGCAUUGACCGAUUCUGGUGCAAGUAUUAACCUAAUGCCUUUUUCUUUCUUCAAGAAGUUGAAUUUACCGGAGCCAAAGCCUAUCAAUAUGAAGAUCCAUUUAGCAGAUAAGACAAUCAUUCGUCCAAAAGGUGUUUGUGAAGAUCUUCUCAUAAAGGUGGACAAAUUUGUAUUUCCGGUGGACUUUGUAGUGCUUGACAUGGAAGAAGACCCCAAAGUUCCAAUUAUUUUGAGAAGACCAUUUUUGAACACCGCAUGUGCAUUAGUAGAUAUGUGCGAGUCCACACUAACACUACGAGUAGGAGAUGAGUCGAUAGUGUUUAAGGCUAUACAAGAGAUUAAGCAAGAAGAACCAAGAAAAGAAGAAGUUUCCUCUAUUGACUUGGAUGAUGAAUUAUUACAAAAAAGAACUUGCACUCUUACAAGAAGAAGAUCCAAGUAAAUUUCUACUACCUUCUGGAGAAAAUUUUGAUGUUGAAAAAGACUUAGAGGAGAUAGAGAAGUUGUUGAAAGGAACUGAUUCAGAAGAAUCAAUGGAAUGUGAGGAAGUCGCACCGACUCACCGAGUCAAUUCGACAGACUCGACAAGUCCAGUUGAAGAAUUCAGCAAUUUGGAUUACCUUGACCUGCUUGUUACCAGUUCCUUGCCUGAUUUUGAUAUGAAGAUUUUUUCUGAUUAUUUAGAAGAUGAAGCAGCGGAAGGCGAAAUUGUUAAAGCGUAUUGUGACUUCCAAAACGUUCAACUAGCUUACCUCGAUACAAUGAUGCAAAAAGAUGAAGACAUUCGACUUGACGAGGAGGCAAGCUUUGGAGAAGAGGAGAAUGCAAAGGCUCGGAAAGAUGAUGCUGAUAACCCAUUCAUUGAGUCACGUAUAACCAAACCUCGAGCCCGAGUUUUUACUAAUUAUGAAGUAAUUACGUUCAAAGAAGAAGAAGUACAAAAGAGGAUUCAAGAGAAUGGGGUGAAGAAAAAGAAGGUUGGGAAACGGAACACGCAUGCAAUUGAAGAAGAUGCCACAAGGAAAAAGAGAGAAGAAUUGAGACGGGCAUAUAAGAGGAAGAUACACGCCUAUAAAACAAAGUAUAAACCGCAAAAGAUUAAGCGUGCAUUCCCGAUGCAGGAAAGCGAAGAAACGUAGAGCGGGAAGGAGUCUAGCUAACGACUCCUUAAAAACAAGCGCUUAGCGGGAGGCAACCCGUCAUUAGAGUUUGAUUUCUUUUACCUUUUAUUUAGUUUUAGUUUUUCGUUUUUAGGAUUUUCUGUCUUCAUCUUCUAAAUCAUCAAACAUGAUUGCUUGAGAGUACGCAUGGCCUGAGUGUGGGGUGGAUUGAACAUUUUAUAUAAAUAAAUGACAAAAUGAUUUAAUUUUUGAAAUGUUUGCAAGUGACUCGGCGAGUGGGUACCUCGACUCGACGAGUCUAUUCAGAAUCCAGAUAAGUUACAUUUCGCGACGAGACUCGUCGAGUCUAACCCUGACUCGACGAGUCGAUUUUAUUUACUGAAAAAUAACAAUAAUUAUAUUUUUACAUCUGGUAAAACUAGGGUUUUUACCCUAAUUUGAACAUAUCUCAUCGAUACUCGCCGUGCACCUCUUCUUGUUCUCUCUCAACCCCUCAUCAAGUUCUUCCAAUUUUUUUUCAAAUUUCACAAAUUUCAUCAAGCAAGGUACUUAAUUUCUUCUAUAUUACUGUUAAAUUCAUGAUUUUUAGAUGUUUAGAAGAGUCAAUUUGAUUGAACACCCAUUUUUGAAAUUCUAGAAUUUUUAGGGUUUUGAUUUUGGUUUAAUUAUGGUGUUUUGGAUGGAUAUUCUUGCACUAAUAUACCUUAUACACAUUCCUAGACAAACCCUUGGACAAAUUUUGAGUUUUUAUGGGUGCAUUUUCACUGAUCCGUCGACUAACUCGCGCAGUUCAUCAGACUCGCCGAGUCUGUCAUGGACUCGACGAGUCCAGUCGGGAACUAAGAUAGAUUCUGUUUUAAAGUGUUUCUGUGUUUUCUAGAUUGUUUGUUAUUUGUUUUGUAGAAACAUGUUUUCACGGGGUCAGAGCUCAUAAGGAAGGCAAGAAGAUUUCCCUUGGUUGAACUUUCCACACAUCGAGUCCCAAUCCACGAUGACUAGGUGGAAGAAGAAACUUGCAGAUAUCCGGAAAAAGGAGAUUUGUGUACCCAAUGCGAUUGACUGGGGAUGGCUACAGAAUGUCCGAUACGAAGAAGAGUUGGCACCAUACCUUGUUAAGGAAUUUACUCAUAAUGGGGUGUCAAUCACGUGCGAUGGUUAGAGUAGUUUGUUUCGUAUCCGGGAGUUGGUCUAUCGAGAAUUGUGCUUGGAAUUUUUCUCCACAAUAAAUUUCCGAGGUGGGGAUGAUUAUUAUAGCCCUGAGAACAUCACUUUUUGUCUUGGGGUGAGGUUCGUAAAUGUUCUAUGGUUGAAUUAGCUUGGAGGUUGGGAAUUUAUGACCAAAACUUGACUCACACAACUGCAUUUGGUAUUUUUUUUUGGAGCAUUGCCGUAAGGUAUUCCCGGAUGGUGUCACGAGCAUGAAUUGGUGGAACACCAUUGCCAACAAACUUUACAUUCCCAAAUCCGCUCAAGAGGGAAGCAUACGAUCACCCACUCACCGCCUUAUUCACCGCCUUAUUUCCAACACUAUAAAUCAACAAAAGGAUGAUGACAAGGUUUCUAACAUUGAUGUCUUUUAUCUUUGGAGCAUCAUUACACCCAACACCUUUUGCAACAUUCCAUGGUGCAUAGCUUCGUAUUUGGCGGAGGGAGCGGUCAAGGACUGCAAAACUUCAAAAAUUAACGGGGGUAUGUUCGUGACACGUUUAGCCCACUCUUAUGGGUUAAUGACUCAUGGUGCUUGGAAUUUCAUGACGAUGACUCCGACCCCUCCUUUUAAUCCUAUUCUUUUUCGUAGGGCGAGAAUUAUUGAGGAUUAUGGCGGGGGACAUUAUGCUAUUCCCAAUGACGAUCUGGUGAUCGGGCCCGAGGCACCGGGACGGAGGGUUCGAUCAAGACGUGAGCAGGAAGUGGAAGAGGAACCGUCGGUGAUUCCCAUGGAAAAUGACGAAGUACCAAUGGAUUGGUACAAUGUUGAGAUGAGGCGGCUACAAGACCAAAUGGCGAGGGCCGAGGGGUAUAAAUUUUAGCAACGAAUCCCACGUUCGGCUUUUUGAUCAUUUUCAUAUUCCACACAUUGAUGGGGGUAACUUCCCCUACAUUCCAUCUUGGGACAAGGUCAUUAACGAAAGGCGGAGUGGAGCUGAUGGGAGCGGAGCUGUGCAUGGCGAUGAUAAGGAAGAGGGUGAUGAUUAGUUUCUUUUUAUUUAUGUUUUGUUGAACAAUUUGUUUUUGUUUUUAUUUUGUUUGGUGUGUUUUGAAUUCUUAAUUAGGACUUAAACUGAUGUGCUUGAUGUUUGAUUUGACUUGGUUCCUUUUAGAAUUUGGGUUAGGAAAUGCUUGCAUAAGGAGUCUUGAGAAUGUGAGAAAAACAUGGAAACGAGUCAAUAAAGGUCGACGUAUUGAGUCUAGGUGUCGAGUCCAGCCUUAAAGGGUUUAUGAGUGAAUAAUUACUGAAGCAAUGGGAAGUUUUUGAAGUCCACUACAAGCUGGAUUCAAGAUAGAAUCUAUUUAUUUUUCACCCAGCAAUGACUCGCCGAGUGCACUUGUAAGACUCGACGAGUCGCAAUAUAUUUUCACGACUUCAACAUUAUCGCGCUAUUACUCGACAAGUCGUUUAUAUAACUCGACGAGUCAUUCAUUUUUCUACCACAAGGGCUGUUGAUUUGAUGUUGUUAUCUACACCACUUGACCACUUUAUCUUUGCAAUCAAUUCCUGAAGAUUUUACAGUAUUUUUCCUACACAUUUGGAGCUACCCACAUGCGAUUUGAUGCCCAAGACAUGGAUGAGUUGUUCCCAUGUCUAAAGUCGAUUGAAGUAGUUGAGCCUAUAUACGUUCUAGUGCAUUGUGGCUUCCUUAUUCCAGUAAAAUCAUGGGACAAAAACACGACCUUGCUUAUCCCGAAGGAUGCAAUAUGUUUAGCAUCGUGUACCAAAAAUGUAUCCAGGAAAAUUAUUAUCUUUAGCCAAUAAAGGUUGAAGUUGAGCGUCCCUGCAUAAGCAUGUAGGGUUUUGAGUAAAAAAAAAAAGGUGAGUUACAUGUGAAAAAAAAAAAAAAAAAAAGAGGAAAUUACAAGAAAAAGUUUGAAGAAUUUUUGGAGCAUCAAAGUUAAAGUAUAAAUAUCAAAAUUCUGAAAAGUUCAAAAGUUGAAGAUACCCAAAAAUCAAAGAUCAAACUGUCAAAGAAGUGAAGAUGAAAAAGAUCUCCAUAGUGGUAUCAUAAAUUGUAAUUUCUAGAUUAUGUAUGCUUGGGUUGCUCAACCAAAAAUACCUUGAGGAUAGGAGAUUUUCUGCGGAUGGAUUGGGAGGGAUGCAUAAAAUGAGCAUUGUUCGAGAUAAGUGGGUGAAUGUUUAUGAGGAUUGUAAGUAUUUGGAGUAUUGGGGGUUUUAGCAAAAUUUUAGACAUAAAUGCACGCGUUGCGGUUCUGACAUAAUGGUUGGGUUAGAUUGGAGUUGUCCUAUGUGAUUCUAAUGUGCUAAAAUUUAGUUUUGCUUGGGGGCAAGCAAAAGUCAAGUGUGGGGUAUUUUGAUAUUUGCAUAUUUAGUCUUAAACUAAGUAUAUAUUUUUAUCAUUUUUUUAGCUAAUUUAUUGCAUAUCAUGGACAAAAGAUACUUAAAAGUGUUUGAAUUGUGUUUUCAGUCCAAAAGUGAAGCUCGGAAGUAAAAGGAAGCAGGUGAAGCGGUUGGGAGCUCGGGAGUUGAACAAAGAAGAAAAAUAUCAAAAACACAAGGUACUCGGCGAGUAGGGUCGACUACUCGGCGAGUCGCAUCGAAGAUUCGAGAAGACUCCUUGACUUACCGUGUACGGGAAUUAAGGGAUGGACUUGACAAGUCGGUCAUGGACUCGGCGAGUCGGAUUGAAUCUAUAAAAACAACUUUUCAGAUCGACACAAAGAAUUAUGGAACCCUUUGGGGAGAAGCAAGCUGCGAAUUAAAGUCAGAAGAGAUCUAUAGAACGAAAAUACAACCCUAAACCCAAUCCCGCAUGAGAUUUGAGGCAAAUUUACAUCAUUUUACUUUAAUCUAUUGUUUUUCAUCAUGUUAAGACUUUUAGAUUUUGUUUUUGUGCGGUUAAUUACCUCAAUCAUGAGCUAAAACCUUAAAACUUCUGUUUGGGGAGACAAUAUUGAUACUAUGGUUUGAUUUAUGGUAGGAUUGAUUUAAUAUUGGUGAUUUUGUUGAUUCUAGAUUGUUAAAGAACCUUAUGUGUAAAUAAUAACUAUUUUUCUGUUAAUAAGAAGAUAAUUAAGCUGCAUGAACAUCUCUUAAUUGUUUACCUCAUAUGAUUUAUGUGAACACUUUAUUAUAUGACUAGGAUUAGCGACAGUGAAACUAGAAUCAAUAAGGAAAAUAGAUAAAUUAAUGUGUGAGCUUGUGUGAUGACCAUCAACAAGAGGUUAACUAAAGGACCAAAUUAGUUAACCAUUACAAGUCUAAAUUAACCCGAAUAAAUAACCUAGUGAAUUGAAUUAAAUUAGACAAUUGGCAACUGUUUGAGUUAGUUUGUUCUCUAAGGAUUAGUACAGCGAACGUGAAUCUAAUCACUUGAAUCGGUAGCCAAUAGAAGAAUUAAUUAAUUACACUAUUACCAUAAUAUUAACCAUAAGAUCAAUUGAGUUGAACUAAACAGAAGUUCCCUUCGUAAUUGAAUUUAGUUGAAUCUUUGUGUAUCUAGUUUUUAGUUAAUUAGUCUAAGUAAUAGUUAGUAAGUUUCUAGUCUUGUAAAACUAGAGAAAACCCAUUUUUAUUACUAAAUUUUAGAUAAAAUUAGUUUUUAGUUUUAAUUUUCCGUUCUCUGUGUUCGAUAUCCUACUUAUUUAGCUUUACCACAAUUGAUAGAUCCACUGCAUUUGUGUGUUUAUUUUAUAAUUAAAAGUAGGAUUAAAACUAAUUGGUUUUACACACACCACCAUAAAUGAAGAACAACUAAUUUCCAUGCCAUGGAAGACUUGAAGUCAAUGGACAUUUGCAUGCACAGGUUGAAUUUUUGUGGUCCCCAUGGUAGACGGCUAGACACAAUUGUAUACGGAAACAAUUCUUUUAAAAAGUGUAAAAUAAAUGACAAACAAACAAUUGUAUACGGAAACAAUUCUUUUAAAAAGUGUAAAAUAAAUGACAAACAAACAAUUGUAUACGGAAACAAUUCUUUUAAAAAGUGUAAAAUAAAUGACAAACAAGCAUUUAGAUUUUCAAGAAGUAUAGGAUAAUUUAUAAUAUUUUGUAAAUAGUAGUUAUAAAUUAUAAACUUGAUUUUGAUGUUCAAUCAUUUUACAUAACUGAGUUCAAAAAAAUAAGUUUUUCGUUAUUAUUUGACUUGACAAGGUUAUUGUGCAAAGCUUAAUUAAAAGAUACAUUAUGUAACUCGAAAUUAAAGAUAUUAUAUUAUUUUUUAUAAAAAGAUGUAUUUUCUCAAAUGCAUUACCAUUUUAUUAGACAUGAUAAUUUCAACCCAUUUAAUUGAAAAUUUGGUAUUUUUUAUAUUAAUAAUAAAAAUGUAAGAUCCCGAAAUGUCAAGAGUGGAGUUGAAGGGCUAAAAGAGUAAACUGGGAAAGAGCAACUCGGCGAGUCCAUGGUUGGACUCGGCGAAUAGAGUCGCGACUUGGUCGCGUGUUAAAUAGCCGACUCGGCGAGUCAAUAAGUUGGACUCGGCGAGUAGGCGCUGUAAGGAGAAAGCCCUAAAUCCGGGAGUUGAGCCUUAUUUAAGGAACCUCAUGGUUCCCUCCCAGCCUCCUUAUCACCCCCUUGAGUCCCAGAAACCCUAACUUCGUGGAGAAACCCCCUUAUAGAGUGAAUUGGAGCUUGGAGAGGUGGUUGUUGAAGAGAUCUUGAAGGAGAACAAGCUUGGAGCAAGGGGCUUUGCUGGGGUUCGAGUUCCAUUGCAGUUGGGACGUCCUUUUGAGGUAAAAAUCUUGUUCUUGAGCUGUUGUUCAUAUGGAUUCGUCAUUUUGGGGUUUGUGAGGAGUUUGUCUUUGGAUGUAUGGGAGUCUAGAGGAUAGAUCUGAGGUUGCUACCUCAGAUCUGGAAUGGAGAGGGAUCAGAGAGCAUUAAAGUCCCUGUGAUUGAGUGUGUAGUGAAGCUAUCAUGCCCUAAACUCUAGCCCUAAGGUGUUUAAGGCCUAAAUCUCUUUGGAUUCACGUAAAGUUUGCCACUUUACGUGAUGGAUGGGUUGUUGGAGGUUAGAUCUAUGUUUUGGAUCAAUUGCAUGGCCUGGAGUGCUUCUGUAUGGAUUCAGACCGAUGGCACUCGGCGAGUCACAUGGGUAGACUCGACGAGUUGCUUGAAGAUGAGCUGGAACUCGACGAGUUGGAAGAACAACUCGGCGAGUUGGAUGAAGAUGGCCUGGAACUCGGCGAGUCGUACGAACAACUCGGCGAGUAGGUUGAAGAUAGCCUUAGACCCGGCGAGUCUGUUCAUGGACUCGGCGAGUCUUGUUGAAGAGUCCCAAUAAUUGUUGAUCGAGUCGAGAAUCGAUGAGUCAAGGGAUGACUCGGUGAGUUGUGCGCGAGUGGACUCAGAGUUGUUGGACUCGACGAGUCUCGGGGUGACUCGACGAGUUAGGUCGCGGGUUGAGGGAAGUUCUGUGUAUGGGGACUCGGCGAGUUAUCGGGUUGACUCGGCGAGUAGGGUCAGUCAGGAGUUGACUUUGACCUUGUCCUUGACCAAGGGUUGACCAGUGGUUCCAGGGGCAUUGUGGUAAUUGUUGUUUAUUGUUUGAGUUCAGUGCAUUGGUGAUUGUUCAGUGGUGGAAAUCGUAUCAGUGAUCGGAGCAGCUUGGGUUACCUGUUCAGUCGGUAGUUUCGAGGUGAGUUAUCCUCACUAUAUCGACAGGGUCUACGGCACCAAGGCCGGCCCUUUUAUCGGAUUGAGAUCCGGGUAUUUGUUGUUAUGCUAAUAUUGUUAUGUUUGCAUCCUGGUAGUUAGGAUGGUAUGUGUUAGAGACCUGGGUGAGGUCGGUAUCAUGUUCUAUAGGGAGGUGCUAUGCUAGUGACCGGUUAGGUCGGUAUUCCUGGUUAGAGGGGUUGAUAUGUUAUGUGAUAUGCUUGAUCAGUUUGUUGAUUGUUAUCUGUUAUAUGCUUGUAUGUUUAUGUGCACAUGGUUAUUGGACUGGGGUUGGGUUGAGGCGGGUCCUGCUGUGUGUUGUAGGCCAAGAUACCCAGGGCGGACCGGUUGUCCCGAAGGCCCAGCAAGCGGAUCGGAUAAGCUGUAGGCCCGAAAAGGGCGGACCAGACGUGCCGAAUGCUCGGAGAGUGGACCAGACAGACUGAAAGCCCGGUGCGGGCGGACCAGUCAUACUGUAGACUCAGAGAGUGGGCCAGGUGGAUUGAAGGCCCGGUGAGGGCGGACCAAUCACACUGCAGACUCGAGAUAUGUGGCUAGACUUAGAGGGUGGACCAGGUGGACUGUAGGCCCGGUGCGGGCAGACCAGUCACACAGUAGACCCAUAGUGCAUGGCUGUUCUGUGAUCGGAUAUGUUAUGGCAUGUUAUGCGUGUAUGGUAUAUGUGGUUGGUAUUUUGGGGAUAUCUCACUAAGCUUUCGGGCUUACAGUUGUGGUUUUAUGUUUUUCAGGUUCUUCAGGAGACCGUGGCAAGGCAAAGACGUGAUCGUACCGCUCCUCGUGUUUACCUUUUUACAUGGUUCUGGGAAUACUCUGAUAAUUAAUGUAUUGAAAACCUUUUUGUGAUAACAUUUACUGAAAUGGGUUGUUUUUGAAAAAUUUAAAUUGGUUGGAUUUUUCGGUCGUUACAAAAAAUACAAAUUUUCAUAAUAAUAUAAAUAGAUAUAUAAAGAGACGCCGAUGAGAACGGGGUGGGGUGGGGUGGGGGUUUGGGAAUUUAUGGGACCCAAUGUUUUAAUAAUAAUAAAAAAUAAAGUAUAAAAAAUAAUUAAAAAUAUAAAAAAUCUAGGGUGUGUUUGGCUUAGCUUUUAAAAGCUCAAAAGUUCUUUUCCAAAAAGUUACAAAAAGUCAGGAAAUCCUGACUUUUCUAAAAAGUUGAUUUUCCUUGUAUUAAAACUCCAAAAGUUAUUGCCAAACAUCUUUUUGUUUUUUUUCUUUUACAAAAAAGGAUUUUUGGCUGUGAAAAGCUAAGCCAAACACCCCCUAGUAAGGGAAAAAAAUGUCUUUUUAGGUUUGUUAAGGAUAAAAAUCAUAACAAAACAAUACCAUAUGGAUGGUACAAAUUAAGAAAUAAUAAUAUUAAAUCUUAAACCAUAGAGACCAUUUAUAUAAUUUACCCUAGUUUUUUCUUUUAAAUUUGAUACCAAUAUUUUAAGAACUGUUUUUGGCUUUUAACAAAUAGGUGUUGGUGAAUUGGAACACUAUGGGAAAACGACUUAUCAAGGUAAUUAACUUUUUGGUAUAUUCACAUCUGGGUAACUAUCUUUUUUUUGUAUACAUUUAAGUAACAAACUUGUUGGAAGUGUUCACAUAUGACCAUUAUGACAUGCUGUAGCAGGUUACAUCCUAGAUGUGAACACUUUUGACAAGUUCGUUACCUAGAUAUGUAAAAAAAAAAAAAAUUACCCAAAUAUGAACAAAACGAAAAGUAAGAAUAAAUUACACGAAUGGUCCCUGUGGUUUGGAGGAAUUUGUGUUUUUGGUCCCUAACUUAUUUUUGUAACUCGGAUGGUCCUACUAUUUAUUUUUAUUGCGCGUUUGGUCCCUAUCUUACCUAAAAAGACUAUUGUGCCCUUAUUAAUUUAUUUUUUAAUUAGUUUUCUUAUUUAUGUAUUAUUUUUUACAUUUUUUAAAAAAAUAAUAGACCUCACAUAUUUGUAUCUUUUCGGAUGAUCUCUACUGUUUAUUUUUUAAUUAAUUUAUUUUUUAACUCGGAUGAUCCAUAUUGUUCAUUUUUGUUAUGUGUUUGGUCUCUGUCUUACCUAAAAAAGACUAUUAUGCCCUUAUUAAUUAAUUUUUUUAAUUAAUUUUCUUAUUUAUGUAUUUAUUCUUUAUAUAUUUAAAAAAAUUAAUAGACCCUACGAGUUAAAAAAAUAAGUUAGGUAAGACAGGGACCAAACGUGCAACAAAAAUAAACAUUAUGGUCCAUCCAAGUUAAAAAAAUAAGUUAGGAACCAAAAACACAAAUUCCCCCAAACCAUAGGGACCAUUCAUGUAAUUUACUCUUACUUUUUUUUUUGUUCAUAUUUUGGUAACUAAUUUUUUUUGUACGCAUCUAGGUAACAAACUUGUUGAAAGUGUUCACAUCUAGGAUUUAACCUGCUACAGCAAGUCAUAAUGGUCAUAUGUGAACACUUCCAACAAGUUUGUUACCUAGAUGUGUACAAAAAAAAAAGAUAGUUACCCAGAUGUGAACAUAACAAAAAGUUAAUUACUUUGAUAAGUCAUUUUCCCGAACACUAUUGAGGAAUAGUCAAUGGCCCAUGGCACAUGUAAAUGCAUUUGGCAAAAAGAAGUCUUCCACACAAAGACCUUGAAGUCAACAAAGCAAACCCACUAAUCACACCCAUAGACACAAAAAAAAAAAAAUAAAAUAAAAAAAAAAAAAAGGACAUGAUUGAUGCAUUAAGCAAGCAGAAUUUUCCAUGCAACUUCUCCAUAUCAAAUGUAUUCCUCUUUAAUAUUAUUAUAUGUAUCUUUUUAAUCUAAAAUAAAUUACUAUCAUAUUUUAACCUAAAAUAUCUUUAAUAUAACUACAUUUAAACAUUAAAGAAAUUAUAUAUUAAUAGUUUUUGAGUAAAUACAAGAAACCAUUAUGUGAUUUCAGGUAAUUAGCGUGUAUUGUCCUUUAACAUUUUUUUAAAAUUUGGACAGUCCCUAUGGUUUGGUUUUGUUUCGGGUUUGGUACCCAACAAACUUAAUAUGACUAUCUUGCGCUUAAUGAUAUUUUUCUAUAAUUUUUUAAUUCAUUUUUUAUUAUUAUGUUAUUAUUAAAUUGAGUAAAUUAUUAAUGUCUAUAAUGAUACUUCACCAAACACCAGAUGCUGCCCUUGAAAUCACCUCCCCCACCAUUUCAUGCUUCUUGUAAAAGAUUGAAGGAUCCAGCCUCACACCAUUUUCCCCUCUGUUAUAGACAAAGAACAACAGUAUCAUCCAUUCCUGAUGAAAAUCAAAACCUCUUUCCUUAUAUUAUAGAAUACCAAGUUCACUCUAUCAGAUAUAUAAUCUCAACUUUCAUAAACAUGCUAAAAAUAGAAACGAAAAAAGAAAUGCACAUAAACCAUCACUGUGGAAGUUCACAGGAAUCACAAGUUUAGGGACGCUAGAAAGUAUAUCAGGUACUUAAUGAUCUUACACUUACACAUAUGCAAACUUUCACAACAUGCAAUGCCUACUGAAAAAGGUUUAUUUACUAAUGCAAAUUAAAAACAAAAAAACAAAACAAAAUCUAUUGACGUACAAUAAUUAUGGUAUCAUGUACCAGUAGAUAUCAAUACAAAACCUAAUCUAAUAAUAUUGGAGCAAUUACACACAUACAUUAUACAUAUAUAAUAUGUGGCCUAGUAAAACUGGACACACAUAAAUAAAUAACAAUUCAUUUGUAGGAACUGCUUUCAUAGCAUAUGAAGAAGAACCGGUUCCUAAUAUAGCAGCAAUACGAAAACAAACGCAAGAGAGCACAGAGGCUUUUCAUGAGCACAGGUCAACAUAGGACUAUAGUCUAUAGGUGAUUAGUUGAUACAAUAAAACAACAUAACCACUACCAAAGGGUCUACUGAGAAGCAGAGGUUUAAUUGAGUUUGAAGCAUUUCCUCCCUUAAACAGGUAAUUACAGAUUACGUGUUUAACAUUAUAUCUACCAUUAGGAACUGCAAGUGUCUUGCAAAACAGAGGCUAUCACCGUCUGCUUAUAUGCAUCAUUACCUUCUCUGUGUUACAGGUCCCAAUUUGUGCGACAAUUAGGUCAGACAGAAUCAUAAAAGCGUAGAUGGAUCAUUUUCCCGGUACACAUCAAUGCAAUUGGAUUAUAUUACACAUAAAAACAUAUUUGCAUCGUUUUCAAUAGCCCUAAAUUACUAUCUUUUUUAUCUUACAGAUCCCAAUUUGUGUGCUGAAUUUUCUUAAAAAACAAAUCCAGCAAAGUUCAUAAAAUAUAGAGAAUUAGGUCAAAGAAAAAAAGAAAAUCGGAAAACAUACCAAGGGAACGCCAUAUGAAUCGGCAGUGUAGGCUUCGCCUUUUCCCCGUUCUCAUCCACUUCCCGGUGACGAUAGUUUUUAGAGGACUGCAAAUUUGGGGGAAAUUUUGUUAAAAUGCUUAAAGGAACAAGAAGUGACGUUAGGUUACUAUGAUAAGAAAAAUUACGAUGUGUUUAUAAAUAUUUUGAUAUAUUUGUAAUCAUUACAUUAAAUUUGCAGAUUCAUAAUAACUUAAAACUAAAAGUUAUUUGGGUGUAAAAGUCCUAUAAAUUAUAUCAUAAAAAGAAGGUCGAGGUGGUUGGGAUCCGAAAUAAAAGUUGUCGUGAGAAUGAUAUAUUUAUUAUAUGAUAGUAAGGGAAGAAAAAUAAAAAGAAAAUCAUUUUUUCUUUGUUACUAGUUAAGGGGUACCAAUCGGUAGGCGAUCACACAAACACACCCUUCUCUUGUG